rnacentral:rRNA from 1 species
UACGGAGGGGACUAGCGUUGUUCGGAAUUACUGGGCGUAAAGCGCACGUAGGCGGAUUUGUAAGUCAGGGGUGAAAUCCCGAGGCUCAACCUCGGAACUGCCUUUGAUACUGCAAAUCUCGAGUCCGGAAGAGGUGAGUGGAAUUCCUAGUGUAGAGGUGAAAUUCGUAGAUAUCGGGAGGAACACCAGUGGCGAAGGCGACUACCUGGCCUGUUCUUGACGCUGAGGCGCGAAAGCUAGGGGAGCAAACGGG